GUUAUAAACCGCCCCCAGCCAACCUGUUAAAUCAGAUACUUCUGUCCAUCACCGGCGCAGAAUCUGUUUUUUCCCUAAAAGAAAUGCGUGUUAUAUCGCAACGCCACACCGAAUUCAGCUAGCCCACGAAAAGGCGUUAACCGUUUGAAAUGUACGCAGGGGAGUUGGAUUGACAGUUGGUCUGUCCGUACGCGUGCAGGGAAAGGCUUCCUGGACCGAAAACAAGAAGUUUACACCACCAAUCGACGAGGUCGACCUCGGGAGAAGGCGGAUCUCUGUGCGCUGUAAAGAUAGGUUGCGCUCAGUGUUGGAGACAGAAAUUUAGACAGUUGGAACUGUAAAUCUUGGAAGAAGACGUUGGUCCGUAGAAAUCUGUAUCGCUACUACUUAGUACCUUCCAAGACGCUGGCUGAAAGACGUCGGUGAGAUAACGGCGGCUUCCCACUCAGGGAACGGUAAAAGUUUGGCGCACAAGGACUUCAGCGGAUCGCUUGCAGCUGCAGCUCAUAUUUGAUUGAAUCACCACGCUUGGAAAUGUCUGAAAAUAAGCCGAAUGAUGAUGACCCGAAGUUGUCAACGACGGACAGGAUGGUGAAAUCCGUCCCGUUCCCGCCCAACCACCGCCUGACGGGUAAGGAGGUUUUCGACAGCGAGGGGAAGCCCAAGGUGGACGUCCUGAAGGCCCACCUGACCAAGGAGGGGCGCGUGGAAGAGGGCGUGGCCCUGCGUCUCAUCUCCGACGGCGCCGCCAUCCUGCGAGCCGAGAAGAACCUGCUGGACAUCGAGGCGCCGGUCACAGUUUGUGGAGACAUCCACGGGCAGUUCUUCGACUUGAUGAAGCUCUUCGAGGUGGGAGGGUCACCUGCCAACACCCGCUAUCUUUUUUUAGGCGACUACGUGGACAGAGGCUACUUCAGUAUUGAAUGUGUGCUGUAUUUAUGGGCCUUAAAAAUCCUUUAUCCCAAAACGCUCUUUCUUCUCCGGGGGAACCAUGAAUGUAGACAUUUAACAGAGUAUUUCACAUUUAAGCAAGAAUGUAAAAUUAAGUAUUCGGAGAGGGUGUACGACGCCUGCAUGGACGCCUUCGACUGCCUCCCAUUGGCCGCCCUCAUGAACCAGCAGUUCCUGUGCGUACACGGCGGGCUGUCCCCCGAAAUCACGCAGCUCGACGACAUCAGGAAAUUAGACAGGUUCAAAGAGCCCCCCGCCUACGGUCCCAUGUGUGACCUGCUCUGGUCGGACCCCCUGGAGGACUUUGGCAGCGAGAAGAACCAGGACCACUUCACCCACAACACGGUGCGCGGCUGCUCCUACUUCUACAGCUACCCAGCCGUCUGCGACUUCCUCCAGCACAAUAAUCUAUUAUCAGUGAUCCGGGCCCACGAGGCGCAGGACGCUGGGUAUCGCAUGUACAGGAAGAGCCAAACGACGGGAUUCCCGUCCCUCAUCACAAUAUUCUCCGCGCCAAACUACCUGGACGUGUACAACAACAAAGCUGCAGUACUGAAGUAUGAGAAUAAUGUGAUGAACAUUCGGCAGUUUAACUGCUCCCCCCACCCGUAUUGGCUGCCCAACUUCAUGGACGUCUUCACCUGGUCCCUGCCCUUCGUCGGAGAGAAAGUAACCGAGAUGCUGGUCAACGUGCUGAGCAUCUGCUCCAACGACGAGCUGACGACCGAGGAAGAGAUGGAUGGAGCUACAGCGUCCGCCCGUAAGGAGGUUAUCCGCAACAAGAUCCGCGCCAUUGGCAAGAUGGCCAGAGUCUUCUCCGUCCUCAGGGAGGAGAGCGAGAGUGUGCUGACACUAAAAGGGCUGACCCCCACCGGCAUGCUGCCCAGCGGGGUUCUGUCCGGCGGGAAGGAGAAGCUGCAGAACGAAACCGCAGGUAUAAUCUUUUGCGCAAGUAUUCCAUCAGAAGUAUAUUGUGUGAGAGGAAAAAGUAGACUUCACCUACCCCUGCCCAAUUCCCCAAACUCACUACGAGUUCACAUUCUAUCUCCUUUUAUCACAGAAAAUAGUUUUUAUCUGAUAUUAAAAAAAUAAAAAAAAAUAAAAAAACCAGGCCAAAAGUUUUUGAUAUUUACUCUAAUCUCUCUCCAGAGAAUCAGUUAUUUUUGUCGACCGAACGCCAAAAGUGAAUAUUUGAGAAGUGCGGUGCUUGUUAGUGGUGGGGGGAGCACAGCCAAUCGGACGGUCUGAAAUGCACUCCUAGUCCUAGCUGUGUAAGAAAGGGGAUAACUGAUGCCUCGCUUGCCAUCCGCAGCCGAGCAGAAAUCAGAACAGCGUCAUGCUUCUCCUCUCCUGUCUGGGGGUUCCUACAUCCAUAGGGCAGCAGUGUAGCAUAGUGGGUAGGACACUGCCGUUGUACCUGUAUUGCUUCAGUAUACAUCCAGCUGUAUAAAACUAAUGCAAUGUAAAUGUAAAAAAAAAGUUGUGAAAGUCGCUCUGGAUAAGAGCGUCUGCUAAGCGCUUGUAAUGUAAUGUACUGAACACCAGCGGAGGAAGCAUCCUUAGAAAUCAUCCUGUUUGGCUGAGUGAACUACUCCCCCCCAAAACAACUGCAGUACCUCCCGCAUCCACUAGACGGUGCACAUGGAUUAAAACCAGAGUAAUUGGAGGAAGGCGCUGUGUGUCUCUCAGUAGCCGAGUCCCUGGGGCUGUGGAGCGGCGUCCAGCCGUACGCACGCAGGCGUGUUUCAGGCCUGUCGGAAGCCGCGUGACGCUGUUGAGAUUCCUGUCGCCGCGCGGGUCGAACCACCGCGACGCCCCCGCCUCUCUGCCAGAGCAGAGGAGCGCGCUUCUGUCCCAGUGUCGCGCCCCCCCCCCCCCCCCGCCCAUCCGCCAGUGCCCCAGCUGCUUUUGGGUUUUAACUCGUGCGUGUGUGUUUGUGUUUGUGUCGCCGUGGUUGUACGCGUUCGUGUUCUUGUGUUUUUUUACACGCAUUUGUACAUACGUAUGAGUGUGUGUCCGUAUACAUCUGUGCGUGUGUGUGUGUAGGUGUGUGUAGGUGUGUGUGUGUGUGUGUGUGUGUGUAGGUAUGUAGGUAGGUGUGUGUGUGGGUAGGUUUAGGUGUGUUAGAGAGUGUGUGCGUGUGUGUAGGUGUGUGUGUUGGUGUUUUUAGUCAUUAUGUCCAAAGGGUAUUUGUCUCCUUUGCGAGAACUGUUACGCAGGGUUUUUCUGUGUUCUGUGUGUGUGUGAACUGUGCAGUGAAUACAUUCUCACUUCUCUAACACUGCAUGUUGGAUUAAUCCCAAAUUAUUGCCAAAAAAUACUGGUAAUGUCAUCACGGUAAGUCUACAACAGGCUGUUCUCUCCUCGAUUCAUCAAGUUUCAUCUCCAAGGUAAAUAAAUCAAUGUUGUUUGUGUGUAAAUAAAUAUUUCUAUUUAGGCGAACGAGGGUAACUUGUGUUUUAAUUAUUUUCUCGUAUGGAAGGCAAGCUUACUCAGAUAACACAUUCGCUGUCCAUCGUGGUGCUUUCCCCCCAAACCCCUUCCCCCCUACUCGGUCCUCACAGUGGACCUCAACGCUUUCUCCCUGUGCAGGGUAGUCUUCUUUCCUCACUGUGUAAUUAUGUGCUGUGCGUGGACCAUUCAUGUGAUUAUUGCGCUCUUUACUGCUCUGAAUAUCUCUGUCCUACCAAGGUUUUUAUUAUUUAAUGUUAUUUAGUUUUUUUUUAGUUUUUCGUUCCUGAACCCGCAUUCCUGCCCCCGUGUUAUUUUGUUGUAGGUCAUCAUUGGUUCUGAGCUCUAUUUUGUUUUUCGUGAAAAGGCCCUUCUUGCUGUCUGUUUAUUUGUAUCUCUGAAAAAACUAAACACACCAUACCGUUCUGAUAUUGUUUAGCUCAUCAGUGCAAUGUGCAAAUUCAUGCUUAAUGAAAGUGUGUUGGUUAGCCGGUCCCAGUAUGUAUUAAGUUGAUAUCCCUAAAAGGGAUUUCUUACUAAAACAAUUUUUUGGUGGAUGCCACCCAACUCUAUCCUUGUUUUCAAGUUUUUUGAAGAAAUGUGAUUUUCCUAGGUGUCUUUCAGACAGUCAAAUUUUAGCCAAGAAAGCAUUGGCACUAACCAAAAUGUUUUUAAUUCACUGAAGAGGUGGAUGACCAAGGGGACUCAAGGUGAUGUCAUUAGGUGUUCCUCAGGGCACCCUCCUAGGGCCCUUUUGUUUUCGUUUUUUUCUGUUUGUUUUUUGCUUGUUUAUUUUUUUGCUUAUUAAUCCACUUUUUGCUUAUUAAUCUGCCUGUCCUUCCCUUGUCAGUGUAGACAGACGUUGCUUUUUAAAACAUUAAGUCCUCACUAAGCUCUUCUGCUGGUUGACGUUGUUGUCGGAGUUUGAAAUUCUGUGCUCUCUCUUCUCAUUCGUUUGCCACCCCUCUUCUUCUCUUCAGCUACUGUUGAGGCAGUUGAGGCUGAUGAAGCCAUCAAAGGUUUCUCCCCCCAGCACAAGAUCGCCAGCUUCGAGGAGGCGAAGGGGCUGGACCGGAUCAACGAGCGCAUGCCCCCGCGCCGGGACGCCUCCCCCACGGACGCCUCCC